AAUUACCUUCCAGUGGCCUUACCUCCAAAUUCUAUAACAUUGGGGAUUAUGUUUCAACAUAUGAAUUUGGAGGGAAUCCAGACAUUCAGUCCAUAGCAAUCUUCUAAACCCAAAAUAUGACAUGAAUUAUCUGAAUUUAUGAAGUUACAAAGUUGCAAGUAACUCCUCAAAACACUUUAUUUCUAUCUCACAAGGAAAAGAAGAAGAAGAAAGAAAACCUCCAGCUUGAACAGACUAUUUCCCAGUUGGCAUAUUAGAAAUGGCUUCAUUUCUGAGAGAUGACAAAGUUAAUCCUGUUUUGAGUUAUAUUGGAUGAAAAUGGCAUUUUGAGCUUGCUUUGCAUUUACUGAAUAAGCCAUUGAGUCCAACAUUUACUGAGUGCCAUUAAGUGGAAGACACAGUGUUAGACAUUAAGGUUAUAAAGGUAAGUUAAGAAUAAUCAUUUCCAUCAAGAUAUGGAAUGUUUGUUGGGAGCUACAAACAGAGCAGAGCAUUGUAAUUUUCUCUUUUUGUAAAUAUAGG
rnacentral:lncRNA from 1 species